rnacentral:rRNA from 1 species
GGAAUCUUGCACAAUGGGCGAAAGCCUGAUGCAGCGACGCCGCGUGGAGGACGAAGUCUUUCGGGAUGUAAACUCCUUUUGCCAGGAACGAUAAUGACGGUACCUGGUGAAUAAGCCCCGGCUAACUACGUGCCAGCAGCCGCGGUAAGACGUAGGGGGCGAGCGUUGUCCGGAUUUACUGGGCGUAAAGAGCGCGUAGGAGGCCUAUUAAGUCAGGUGUGAAAUCUCCAGGGCUCAACCCGGAAACUGCACUUGAUACUGAUGGGCUCGAGUGUCGGAGAGGUGAUUGGAAUUCCUGGUGUAGCGGUGACAUGCAUUGAUAUCAGGAGGAACACCCAUGGCGAAGGCAGAUCACUGGCCGACAACUGACGCUGAGGCGCGAAAGCGUAGGUAGCAAACAGA